UAACCUGCCCAAGAGAUCGGGAUAACACCUGGAAACAGAUGCUAAUACCGGAUAACAAUAGAUGAUGCCUAUCAACUGUUUAAAAGAUGGUUCUGCUAUCACUCUUGGAUGGGCCUGCGGUGCAUUAGCUAGUUGGUAGGGUAACGGCCUACCAAGGCGAUGAUGCAUAGCCGAGUUGAGAGACUGAUCGGCCACAUUGGGACUGAGACACGGCCCAAACUCCUACGGGAGGCAGCAGCC
rnacentral:rRNA from 1 species